rnacentral:rRNA from 1 species
ACUGUCAGGUGGGCAGUUUGACUGGGGCGGUCGCCUCCCAAAAGGUAACGGAGGCGCUCAAAGGUUCUCUCAGUACGGUCGGAAAUCGUACGUAGAGUGUAAAGGCAAAAGAGAGCUUGAUUGCAAGACAUACAGGUCGAGCAAGGAUGAAAAUCGGACUUAGUGAUCCGGUGGUUCUGCGUGGAAGGGCCAUCGCUCAACGGAUAAAAGCUACCCUGGGGAUAACAGGCUUAUCUCCCCCAAGAGUCCACAUCGACGGGGAGGUUUGGCACCUCGAUGUCGGCUCAUCACAUCCUGGGGCUGUAGUAGGUCCCAAGGGUUGGGCUGUUCGCCCAUUAAAGUGGUACGCGAGCUGGGUUCAGAACGUCGUGAGACAGUUCGGUCCCUAUCCGUCGCAGGCGUAGGAAAUUUGAGAAGACCUGUCCUUAGUACGAGAGGACCGGGAUGGACGUACCUCUGGUGUACCAGUUGUCCUGCCAAG